GAGUGUUUGGAUAACAGGGGUGCACUACCAUGCCUGGCUUAUUGUUCCUUUUUAGAAGGAUCAUCUCAAGGGGUAGGGACAGCACAGGUACGGGCUCAUCGGCCACAAGCUCUUAAGUGUGGUGGUGCAGCUUGGGUGUUGGUUCAGUCACCAGGGAAUCCACAUCUGAACUCUCAAGCUCAGCAUUUUUCACUGCAGUUUCACGCAUGUGCAGCAAAACUUCAGUGCUUUCUGGGCAGCAGCCGUGGGCCCAGCCACACUAUUUGGUCCAGGCACACGCACCAGCUCUACUGUUGCAACACACUGCUUCUUUCAGGUGACAUUUUCAGGUGUUUGGUGGCCCUUCAGAAAUGCAUACCCUUGGGGGCCUGGGUAGUUUUUAAAGUGAACCAAAGAUUCGAACCUCUUGCUUUGCAUGAUUUUGUGCGGUUUUCUGGGUCAAGAGUGUGGUGAACCAUUUUCACAGAUCACCUGAGGCCACUCCGAGAAAGAGCUCUCUCUUUCCCUUACAGCUAUUUAUACUUUUAUGUUUUCAAAGAGCCAACCGUUGCCUCUAUUAGUUCCCUCUAUUGUUUGUUUAUGCUGUCUCUGGUUACUCACGUCAGUGGUCCUGGGAUCUGUGGGAACUGCCUUUGGUGAGACACAUGCAGAUAACUGCCACGAAGGCAGAAGUCUUUAUCACACUCCAGACACCUGGAAACAGGAUGCAAGGCAGUCGCACUGCGCCACACGAGGAGGGGCUGAGGUGACAGGCAGGGGGAGGACCUGUGCACAAGAGCCUGUGCUAUCCUUUCGCAGAGCUGGACCAAGCAAAGUCAGCAAGCUAUGCAGGUUCUGAACUGGAUAACUGGAACAGCUCUGAUGGGGCCCGGGCUCUAGAGGUGGUUUCUAGUUGUCUAGUUCCUUGGGUGGCCAGGGGAGAGAGCAUGGAACAAGGAAGCAGGAGCCUCGUAAGGUUUUGGGUGAGAGUAUGGGCUCGGGAUUGGCAGCGUGUGUCAAAGGGGAUUGGCAGUGUGUGUCAAAGGUGUGACAAGCAAACACAUCUAUUAUCUCUGGGAGUUAGCUCCGUCCCUUGAAAGUCUGUAUAAAUUUUAGAAUUAGUUUCAAACAAAAAGUCAUGUGUAAUUCUGACAGGAGUUGUGCUGACUCUGUAAAUAAGUUUGGGGGCUCGUUAUCAUCUCACCCCACUACAGGGGACCGAACCUAGAAGUGCUGAGUUACAUCCCACCCCUUCUUUUUGAAAAUGUGAGGCCAGAUCUUGGUAAGUUGUUCAGACUGCCCUUAAACUUGUCCUCCUUCUGCCUCAGCUUCUUGAGUAGCUGGGAUUAUAGGUGUGCAUCACCAAGCCUGCAUUAUGUAUGUGUGUAUGUGUGUGUGUGUGUGUUACUAGGGAAUGAACCUUUGACCUUGCAUGGUAGAUAAAUGCUCCAUCACUGAGUUAUAUUCCCAGCCAACCAUCUUAAUACUGUAUCGUGUUGUCAUCUUACCUGUAAACAUGGGGUUUGAAAAAUUCAUUCUUAUUUCAACAUCUUGUAGUUUUCAUUGUACAAGUUUUGCACUUCUUUGUUAGAUUCAUUCCUCGGUAUUUUACUCUUUUUUUCAAUGCUACUAUAAGCAGAUUUGUUACUCUCAUUUUUGGAUUUACUGCAAAUAUGUAGAAAUGAUGAUUUUUGUGCAUUAAUCUUGUAUCCUGUGCCUUUGCUGAACUCAAUUUAAUAGUUUUUAGUAGAUUUCUUAGAAGUUUUCUAUAUACAAGAUCAUGUAGAUGUGCCCUUUUUUUUUUUUCCGGUACUGGGAAUCAAGCUUACGAUCUUGUGCUUGCCAGGCAGGCACUGUGCCACUGAGCUAAAUCCCCAGCCCAAGAUCAUGUAAUAUAGAAAUACAGUCUUGAUUUCUCUAUUAUAAUUUCAAUAAUUUUUAUUUUUUUUUAUCUGAUUGUGUUGACUAGAAGCUCCAGUACAAUGUUCAACAGACGUAGUUAAGAGUGGACAUUCUUAUUUUGUUCCUUAGAGAGAGCAUCUUAGUCCCUUCAGGCUGCUACAACAACAAAAAAACCUUAUACACACUAAUAUAUAGGAACAGAUAUUUAUUUAGCACAAUUCUGAAGACUGGGGAAUCCAAGAUCAAGGCACCAGCAGAUGCCGUGGAUGAGGAGUCUCCACCUCAAGGUGGCACCUUCUUGCUGUCCUCUCACAUGGUAGAAGUGAACAAGCUCCCGAAGGCCUCCUUUACAAGCGUAUUAAUUUUGUCCACAAGAGCUCCACCCCUAAGACCUCAUCUCUUAAUACCACUGCACUGGGGAUUAGAUUUCAAUACAUGAAUUGGGAAGAGACCAAUAUUCAGACCAUACCAGCAGGAACGCUUCCAGUCUUUCACGACUGAGUACAGUGUUAACCAUAGGGUUUUUGUGGAUAUCUAUUUUUAUCAUGUUAAGGAAGUCUUCUAUUGUUGGUUUAUUGAGUAUAUAAUGAAAGGAUGUUCAAUUUUGGUAAAUGCUUUUUCUGUACUUACUGAGAUGAUCAUUACGUGUUUGGGUUUUUGUCCAACUCAUAUGCUGUUUACACUGAUUUUCAGAUGUUAAGCCACUUUUGCGUUCGUGGGACAAAUCCUGUCUAGUCCUGGCGUGUAAAUCUUUAUUAUGUUGCUGGAUUUGGUUUGGUAGUGUACUGCUGAGGAUGUUUCCAGGCUCAUGAAAUACUGGUCUGCAGUUUUCUUGUUUUUGGCUAGUUUUGCCAUCAAAGUUUUCCUGACCUCAUAAAAUGAGUUGGGAAGUGUUCCACUUCUAUUUUUGGAAAACAUUUGUGAAGGAUUAAUAUUAAUCUUUCUUUAAAUGUUUGGUAAAGCUCAGUGGUGAAAUCACUGGGACUUGGAUUUUAUGAAGUUUUUUUUUAAUUACGAGUUGAAUUUCAUCACUUCUGGGUCUAUAAACAUUGUUUACUUAUUCCUGAUUCAGUUACAGGAGUUUGUGUCUCCUGAAGAAUCCUUCCACUGCAUCCAAGUCACUCAAUGACAAGGGGGUUAUUCCUCAUAUUCCAAUACUCCCUUUCCUUUUUUCCUGCUCAUUUUCUAUUUAUCUUUUUCAUUUGUUCGUUACUGUUUUCUCCUGUGUUCAAUAAAAUAGUUUACCAUUUUUAUUCCACUGUGUUGGAGCAUGUGUUCAGGUCCUCUUCUGCCUUCUGUUUGAUUCCCCAAGGUGUCAGACUCAGUGACUCUUGAGUCCAGCCUUCGGGCAGAUGGCAGAAGAUGAGCAGAACCCGCUGGACCUACUAAGCUCACGCUUUGGCUAUGCUGCAGGAGUGCAUGGCACAUCACCAGAGCUACACAGUGCCUGCAACGAGGAUAGCCUUCGGGGAUGCAAGAGUGAGCAGCAGGCACAGUGCAGCCAAAGUAGCACAGAACCGAGCAAGCCGAUGUCCACUACCGAGACUUUCCUUCCAUCAUGUUUCAAUAACAGCCAGUAUUUCUGACGCACUGCCUUGAAAACCGUUGUCCUUUCCCUUCUUCCGGCUGGCAGAAGACAGCAGGUCUACAAGAUGGAAAUAAACCUUGGGAUCCACGUGGAGGAGGGACAUCCUCCAACCUCUACAUCCUCCCCAGACGUCUUCAGUGAUGAGCAGAUAAUGACUUCUGGUCUUAACUUCAUGAAAGACUGGGACCAGGCCGUGACCACACCAUGGCAGAACCUCAACCCUAACCGUGAGUGCCACGGGUACACUGCCAGCUAUCCUGUCUCUAUUUGGUUUUCACGUAGAUAUAUUCCCUUGCAUCCUUUCUCACACAUAUUUUUCUGUUAUUGUAAGUUCUUCAUAAUAAUUUAUGGCUGCAUAAUAUUUUAUAAGGUGGUUAAACAGUAAUUCAUUAUUCUAUCCUUGACAGUUUAUCUCUAAUUUUAUUGGUAAUGCUGUAAGAAACAUUUUUGUACAGAAACCUUAUUCUGUAUUUUGAGUUAUCUUUUAAAAUAUCACCAAAAAUGACAUUAUUCAGAGCUUAUAAACACACUGUUGAGCUUCCUUUCACAAAGACUGAGUCAGUUAAUUAUAUUACCAUCAUUAAUGAGCACGUUCAUCAGACUUUGAUAGCAAAGGGAGUCUACAAACAUAUAUAAUAGCACAAAUGUAGGUUAACUUGAUGUUUUAAAAUUUCCCCUACUAAUACCUAUGUUAAACACUUCUGUUCAAGUAGCUAUUCCUCUUCCUUGAAGAAUUUCACAUUUCCUCAUCUACUGGAGUAUGUAUUUCCUGUAGGUCUUCAUAUCCUAGCAUUAACAGCUUCAUCAAAAAUUAACAAUCCAAAAUUUCACAAAGCAUUUUAUUAAAAGUAAAACAAAUAUUAAGGCACAAAAAUACAUUGAUUUUUCAAAAAAAAAAAUCCCUCAAAGAAACUUCUUCUAAAUUAUAGAAUAAUUUAGACUUUUUAAAUUAAAAAAAUACAACUUUUUAAGCGACUAAACUUUCUUCCCAAAUAAAUGUUUUCCUAGUUCUAAAGAAGUUUCUUAACGCAGUACUGAGUCCCUAUGUUAUAAUAUACAUGUCUUUAAAAUCCUACUUCUGUCAUAUAUACAUUUGGUAUGUUCACAACUUUAACCAUGUGUUAAACUUACUUCUUACAAGGAUAAGGCCUGGUGUUUUGUAUUGCUUCCUGCAUGCUGCUGAUCAUAUUAAGACACAAGUACCAGAACUAGAUACAUAAAUCUAGCGUAACAUCUCUCCACCUUUAUGGUGUCGAGCUAGUGAGACAGACCCAAACCUCUUUCAAAAAGAGGGUAUAAAGAUCAACAUUAUAUAUACAUUUUUAAUACUUUCAGUAUUGACGUUAUAGGAGUCAAACACACGUACUGUAAUACAGAAAGGAAAGUUGGUGUUCUACAGUAUAUUAAAGAUAUAUUAUUUUCUUUACAGGAAAAGUAUGAGAAUAUUGUAACAUCUCUGAGGCUUAAAAUAUUCACCUAUUUUUCCUUAAUUUUGAAAUAAACUGACUAUGCUUCAAAGAAAA